rnacentral:rRNA from 1 species
GACCGAUAGUGAACCAGUACCGUGAGGGAAAGGCGAAAAGAACCCCGGCGAGGGGAGUGAAAAAGAACCUGAAACCGUGUACGUACAAGCAGUGGGAGCACGCUUAGGCGUGUGACUGCGUACCUUUUGUAUAAUGGGUCAGCGACUUAUAUUCUGUAGCAAGGUUAACCGAAUAGGGGAGCCGAAGGGAAACCGAGUCUUAACUGGGCGUNCUCUUUAUGGGGUGACUGCGUACCUUUUGUAUAAUGGGUCAGCGACUUAUAUUCUGUAGCAAGGUUAACCGAAUAGGGGAGCCGAAGGGAAACCGAGUCUUAACUGGGCGUUAAGUUGCAGGGUAUAGACCCGAAACCCGGUGAUCUAGCCAUGGGCAGGUUGAAGGUUGGGUAACACUAACUGGAGGACCGAACCGACUAAUGUUGAAAAAUUAGCGGAUGACUUGUGGCUGGGGGUGAAAGGCCAAUCAAACCGGGAGAUAGCUGGUUCUCCCCGAAAGCUAUUUAGGUAGCGCCUCGUGAAUUCAUCUCCGGGGGUAGAGCACUGUUUCGGCAAGGGGGUCAUCCCGACUUACCAACCCGAUGCAAACUGCGAAUACCGGAGAAUGUUAUCACGGGAGACACACGGCGGGUGCUAACGUCCGUCGUGAAGAGGGAAACAACCCAGACCGCCAGCUAAGGUCCCAAAGUCAUGGUUAAGUGGGAAACGAUGUGGGAAGGCCCAGACAGCCAGGAUGUUGGCUUAGAAGCAGCCAUCAUUUAAAGAAAGCGUAAUAGCUCACUGGUCGAGUCGGCCUGCGCGGAAGAUGUAACGGGGCUAAACCAUGCACCGAAGCUGCGGCAGCGACGCUUAUGCGUUGUUGGGUAGGGGAGCGUUCUGUAAGCCUGUGAAGGUGUGCUGUGAGGCAUGCUGGAGGUAUCAGAAGUGCGAAUGCUGACAUAAGUAACGAUAAAGCGGGUGAAAAGCCCGCUCGCCGGAAGACCAAGGGUUCCUGUCCAACGUUAAUCGGGGCAGGGUGAGUCGACCCCUAAGGCGAGGCCGAAAGGCGUAGUCGAUGGGAAACAGGUUAAUAUUCCUGUACUUGGUGUUACUGCGAAGGGGGGACGGAGAAGGCUAUGUUGGCCGGGCGACGGUUGUCCCGGUUUAAGCGUGUAGGCUGGUUUUCCAGGCAAAUCCGGAAAAUCAAGGCUGAGGCGUGAUGACGAGGCACUACGGUGCUGAAGCAACAAAUGCCCUGCUUCCAGGAAAAGCCUCUAAGCAUCAGGUAACAUCAAAUCGUACCCCAAACCGACACAGGUGGUCAGGUAGAGAAUACCAAGGCGCUUGAGAGAACUCGGGUGAAGGAACUAGGCAAAAUGGUGCCGUAACUUCGGGAGAAGGCACGCUGAUAUGUAGGUGAAGUCCCUCGCGGAUGGNCGACUUGCUCGUGGAGCUGAAAUCAGUCGAAGAUACCAGCUGGCUGCAACUGUUUAUUAAAAACACAGCACUGUGCAAACACGAAAGUGGACGUAUACGGUGUGACGCCUGCCCGGUGCCGGAAGGUUAAUUGAUGGGGUCAGCGCAAGCGAAGCUCUUGAUCGAAGCCCCGGUAAACGGCGGCCGUAACUAUAACGGUCCUAAGGUAGCGAAAUUCCUUGUCGGGUAAGUUCCGACCUGCACGAAUGGCGUAAUGAUGGNUCCCUCGCGGAUGGAGCUGAAAUCAGUCGAAGAUACCAGCUGGCUGCAACUGUUUAUUAAAAACACAGCACUGUGCAAACACGAAAGUGGACGUAUACGGUGUGACGCCUGCCCGGUGCCGGAAGGUUAAUUGAUGGGGUCAGCGCAAGCGAAGCUCUUGAUCGAAGCCCCGGUAAACGGCGGCCGUAACUAUAACGGUCCUAAGGUAGCGAAAUUCCUUGUCGGGUAAGUUCCGACCUGCACGAAUGGCGUAAUGAUGGCCAGGCUGUCUCCACCCGAGACUCAGUGAAAUUGAACUCGCUGUGAAGAUGCAGUGUACCCGCGGCAAGACGGAAAGACCCCGUGAACCUUUACUAUAGCUUGACACUGAACAUUGAGCCUUGAUGUGUAGGAUAGGUGGGAGGCUUAGAAGUGUGGACGCCAGUCUGCAUGGAGCCGACCUUGAAAUACCACCCUUUAAUGUUUGAUGUUCUAACGUUGACCCGUAAUCCGGGUUGCGGACAGUGUCUGGUGGGUAGUUUGACUGGGGCGGUCUCCUCCUAAAGAGUAACGGAGGAGCACGAAGGUUGGCUAAUCCUGGUCGGACAUCAGGAGGUUAGUGCAAUGGCAUAAGCCAGCUUGACUGCGAGCGUGACGGCGCGAGCAGGUGCGAAAGCAGGUCAUAGUGAUCCGGUGGUUCUGAAUGGAAGGGCCAUCGCUCAACGGAUAAAAGGUACUCCGGGGAUAACAGGCUGAUACCGCCCAAGAGUUCAUAUCGACGGCGGUGUUUGGCACCUCGAUGUCGGCUCAUCACAUCCUGGGGCUGAAGUAGGUCCCAAGGGUAUGGCUGUUCGCCAUUUAAAGUGGUACGCGAGCUGGGUUUAGAACGUCGUGAGACAGUUCGGUCCCUAUCUGCCGUGGGCGCUGGAGAACUGAGGGGGGCUGCUCCUAGUACGAGAGGACCGGAGUGGACGCAUCACUGGUGUUCGGGUUGUCAUGCCAAUGGCACUGCCCGGUAGCUAAAUGCGGAAGAGAUAAGUGCUGAAAGCAUCUAAGCACGAAACUUGCCCCGAGAUGAGUUCUCCCUGACUCCUUGAGAGUCCUGAAGGAACGUUGAAGACGACGACGUUGAUAGGCCGGGUGUGUAAGCGCAGCGAUGCGUUGAGCUAACCGGUACUAAUGAACCGUGAGGCUUAACCUU